AAGAAAGAGUCUAAAACCCCAGAGUACACUUUCAAAAGCCGACACUUUUCCCACAAGACAGUUCAAAAAAUUACCAGAAGAGAAAGACCAUAGUCAAAAAUCAGCCACCGGCCUAUCUCACUUGGAUACGUGCAUCCAUGUGAGGAUAAGGAAGGAUACAUGAAGUCAAUCCUCACACCUGUAACUGUAGGCCUGAGCAGCUUUGAUGCUGACACCUAGAUAAGAACACAGUGAAAAGUAAAAUUGCUUCAUAAACUCAAUCUCAUCUGAGGAUUGUCAGGGGACACAGCGCAGUAACCCAGGUUAAGCUUCAGCUGCCUUGUCUCUGAGAAAUCAAUUGUCUGGCCGUAAUGCAACCACAAAGAAAACACAUCUUUAACUCAUUAAAGGCUUUUAAAUUGUCUAAUCAAUUAUGACUCAAUUACAUUUUUCUGAAGUCAAUAUUAGAUUAUGCCCCAAUGAAACAACUUUACAGUUUUUUUUUUCUUUGUUGAAGCAUCAAUUUUCUCUGCAGUUUUAGAAGAUUUGAAAUACUAGAGCCAGAGGAAUUUCUAUUUCUUUCCCUUGUUGCACUAUUUUAUCAUUUGGAAACCAACUUCAGAACCGUAGUUUUCAACCCAUAGUCUGAGGAAGUCUGGAAGGAGGAAGACUACUGUAGGGAAGACCGCAAAAAGCACUAUGAAAAGCAACCUUCUUGUUAGCAGGUUUCAGCCUGCUUUGUGAGAUUCGUUCUUUCCCUGAAAAAAAUGUUUUUAGGUUUGCACAUUGAGAGAGAGAGAAGAUUAUUACCCUGGAACAUCUUUUCCAUAGCAAGCAAGGUGGGAAGUUUCUUACCCUUGACAGACUCAUGUUCAGAAAAUGAAGGCCGUGUGUAGUGACCCCUCUCUGUGAAAGUUUCUGCACGUGCUUCACACAGUACUCCCGUGGCUGGACCAACUUGGGUGAGCAGAGCUGAGCCAGCACGUGGCCUCCAGCACAGACACUGCCGCUCACAAUGCUACUGAAAAAGCUUGAAGUAAAGGACAAGCAUGGAUCUCCUAGUUUUUGGGAUUCAGCUGCAUUCUACUACAAGCAGCUCUGGCAAAUAAUUCUUCUCCCAAGAGGACUGAGUUCCCACCUGUCACGUACCUGGAUUUUCUGCUUCUGGUGCUGGAUGUGUCCCACUGGUAGGCAGGGAGGAACCAAGAGAAAUGAAGCUGCAGAAUGUGCCUGGCAUUUUAUUUCGCAUCACCUGCAAAAUGGGCUAAAGCAACUAUUCUGGCUGGUUUUAACUGAUUUCUUUUAUGUGUGCAGUUAGCGCAGUAGAGAGAAGCAUUGGCAUUUUAGGUUUCCAGCACGUGAAAUCUGCAGUCUUGCAAGUUGGAGUCUUUUAAAUGGAAAGCAAGAGAGUAAUCAGUGGUUCACGGUGAAAGAAUGACUUCUGGGAGCAGAUAUUCAAGUCUCUUAGGUCUGGAUCAACCAAGCAAAUCAAGGUAAAACCCAGAGGGACAAAUAUACUGCGCAGAUCUGCUUAGGAAGCAUCCUUUUAUAGAAACAAACGGGGAGGUAAAGCACGGUGCUUUAAAAGUGCAUUAAGCGUACUUUAUUCCUCAGCUCAGAGUUAAUUCAAGCAAUAAACUCACUGCUUUCACACUUGCUAAAGCUUCC
ensembl:lncRNA